ACAAGCAGUGGAGUAUGUGGUUUAAUUCGAAGCAACGCGAAAGAACCUUUACCAGGGCUUGACAUCCCUUGAAGCAGCUAGAGAUAGCUGUGUCCUUCGGGACAAGGAGACAGGUGGUGCAUGGUUGUCGUCAGCUCGUGUCGUGAGAUGUUGGGUUAAGUCCCGCAACGAGCGCAACCCCUGUGGUUAGUUGCCAGCAAGUAGCGUUGGGCACUCUAGCCAGACUGCCGGUGAUAAAUCGGAGGAAGGUGGGGACGACGUCAAAUCAUCAUGCCCUUUAUGUCCUGGGCUACACACGUACUACAAUGGCCGUUACAACGGGAAGCGAAGGAGCAAUCCGGAGCAAAUCCCUUAAAGGCGGUCCCAGUUCAGAUUGUGGGCUGAAACUCGCCCACAUGAAGGCGGAAUUGCUAGUAAUUGCAGAUCAGCAUGCUGCAGUGAAUACGUUCCCGGGCCUU
rnacentral:rRNA from 1 species